rnacentral:tRNA from 9 species
AGGCGCGUAGCUCAGUUGGUUAGAGCACCACCUUGACAUGGUGGGGGUCGGUGGUUCGAGUCCACUCGUGCCUACCA